rnacentral:rRNA from 1 species
ACGAACGCUGGCGGCGUGCUUAACACCUGCAAGUCGAACGGAAAGGCCCUGCUUUUGUGGGGUGCUCGAGUGGCGAACGGGUGAGUAACACGUGAGUAACCUGCCCUUGACUUUGGGAUAACUUCAGGAAACUGGGGCUAAUACCGGAUAGGAGCUCCUGCUGCAUGGUGGGGGUUGGAAAGUUUCGGCGGUUGGGGAUGGACUCGCGGCUUAUCAGCUUGUUGGUGGGGUAGUGGCUUACCAAGGCUUUGACGGGUAGCCGGCCUGAGAGGGUGACCGGCCACAUUGGGACUGAGAUACGGCCCAGACUCCUACGGGAGGCAGCAGUGGGGAAUAUUGCACAAUGGGCGGGAGCCUGAUGCAGCAACGCCGCGUGCGGGAUGACGGCCUUCGGGUUGUAAACCGCUUUCGCCUGCGACGAAGCGUGAGUGACGGUAAUGGGUAAAGAAGCACCGGCUAACUACGUG